AACGAACGCUGGCGGCAUGCCUAACACAUGCAAGUCGAACGAGACCUUCGGGUCUAGUGGCGCACGGGUGCGUAACGCGUGGGAACCUGCCCUUAGGUUCGGAAUAACUCCCCGAAAGGGGUGCUAAUACCGGAUAAUGUCUUCGGACCAAAGAUUUAUCGCCUUUGGAUGGGCCCGCGUUGGAUUAGCUAGUUGGUAGGGUAAAAGCCUACCAAGGCGACGAUCCAUAGCUGGUCUGAGAGGAUGAUCAGCCACACUGGGACUGAGACACGGCCCAGACUCCUACGGGAGGCAGCAGUGGGGAAUAUUGGACAAUGGGGGAAAGCCUGAUCCAGCAAUGCCGCGUGAGUGAUGAAGGCCUUAGGGUUGUAAAGCUCUUUUACCCGGGAUGAUAAUGACAGUACCGGGAGAAUAAGCCCCGGCUAACUCCGUG
rnacentral:rRNA from 1 species